UCUCAAAAGAAUCAUAAAAAUAUUUUGAAAUAAGUUGCAGAUUUUAAGUUGGUUAAAAAGAUUUUUUCCACUUUAAAUUAUCUUAAUCUUUAUCCUAACUAAACCAGAUUUUUUAUUUGAUUUUGUGGAUAUCUUAAAUCUUUAUCUUAACUGAAUAAUAUUUUAUCUGAUAUUGUGGAUUUGAAUAACCAUAAGCACUAUAAAUAGGAGUGCAUUUAUGUGUUAUGGGAUACACACAAAAAACUAAAUAUUUCUCUUUUCUCUCUAUUGUUUCUUCUCUAUUUCUGAGUAAUUAAACAUAAGCUGCUGUUCUUGCUCCUGGGUUACUUGUAAUUCAGAAGGCUUGUUGAAUCCUGGAGGAUACGCAACUGUAGGCGAAUUAUCCUUAAGGACAGUGAUUAUUAUCACGCCUCAAGCAAUAUUCUGCUCAUCUUUUAUUUAUUUUCUCUAUCUUUUUCUACCAUUUUACAACAGAAUGCACAUUGAACGCUGGAAGAAAGCACUCCCAGUUGUCUGCAUGUAUAUGCCCCAUCAGCUAUGGACAAUUAGUCCUGUCCAUAAUUUUGACCCAAAUGGAUGGAAGGGAAUCAGAUAUGACUCAAUUACUAGUAGCUAAUGAUGCUCCUUUUUCUUCUCUCCAUUUCCUUAAAGCAGUGGCCAUGUGUCUUUUUGUCUAAGGAAAUGAUGUCAUGAGGUGAACUCCACAGGAAAUGCAUGGCAAUAAAUCUAUCAGAAAACAUGAAGUAAGCCUUAUAUGAUCAUGUAAAUCUUUGUCCUUUCUCUGUUUUAUUAUUUACCUAUUAUGUGGGUAGUAUGGCUUUGUCUUGUGUGUCAAAUGUUUUUUUUUGUCGGAAAAUGUUUACUAGAUUUCCUAUGUACUUCAUGAGGGUCAACAUAGAAGAAUGUAGUACGGUUUUAUACAUCCCUUUGCUUGAGGGGGAAGAGUAUCAUUUAACGUGAAAAUACAUGCAGAGUUUUUUUGGGAGCUCCAUACUCAUCAAAAGAGAAACGUUUGCAUUCUUGUUAAAGAGAAAACAAACAAAUUUUGAUGGUUAGUCAGAAAUUGAGUCCUGAAACUCAAGGGAAUGCACGUAAAUGUAUAAACUAAAUGUAUAAACUAGAUGCAUAAAGAGAAAAACAUACCUUCUGUGACAAUUCAAGGUCUAUAGAUAUGAGUCAGGUGAUCUGGAAAGUUUUAGGUUUGAGUUGAUGAUAUAUUACAUGUACUAUGUAUAUGGUCAGACAACAUUUUCAUGGAAUCGAGCAGAAAAUCAAUGAUAUUUUGGCCUUGCUUUCUCUUCACUGUCCUGAAAGAAGAGCACAAAGAAGGUGUAUUCUGAGAGUACCUGAAAAGUUGACAUCCACUUGCGACUUGGGAGAUCUCGAACUGUCCAAGCACAUUGCCAACACUCGCAUGCAGUUGGCUAGAAAAAGUUCAUUCUUGUAAGUGCAUUGGCAUGCGUACGGAAAUUCAUGCUAAGAUGUCAUGAAAUACCUAAAUCCCGACAUUGUCAUGAGGGGAAAGCCAAAGCAUUUAGAAUUACAUUAGAGAAACAAACAAAUUAAAUCUUCAUUUCCUCUGAAGAAUGAAACUCCCUCAUCUUCUAAAUUAGACUGCACUUCUUUUACUUAAAAAUCUGCACAGAUAAUUUCCUUUACCAAUAAACAAGUUCAAGGCUGCAUUGAAGAUUAUACAGAUAUAUCAACUCUAAUCUAAUUACAACACCUGUCUGAUCUUGCAUUAGAAGGGAUAUAUAAUCGGCAAGAAAGAAGGGAAAAAAGAUUAAUAAGAUUGAUUUUCAUUUUGCUUUUUAUGAUGGAGAAGGUUAAUCUGAAUAAAAUCCCUACUCUUAUAGAUUUAAGGUUAAAACACCACAAAUUUUUUGUAUAGAAGAAUAUAAACAAAUGAUAUUUCUGAAAAAACCAUACCCAUACAAAUGAUAUUCCCUUAAAAAAAUUAUGAAGAUUGAUAUUACCAAAUUCCUGCAAUAAUUGCUAUAAGCACUGAAAUUUACCAAUUCAUUGUAACAUGAAAGAAAAGAAUAAAAAGAGAGAAGGAAUUAAGAGGGAUAUUGGCACGGCUCAAUCAGAUUAAAGGACCCAAACCUUGGGAGAUUUGAUUUGAUUGAGCCAUCCCAACAUCACCUCUUUCUCUAUAAACGUACCAGAAUAAAUGAUCAUAAUCUGAGUUAAUUAUGAUGAGUGGAGCUUGUAUCACGAUGGAGAGAAUUGGCACAAGGGAAGAAGCCAGGAUUAUGAUUUAAUACAAACAGCUGA
rnacentral:lncRNA from 1 species